UGGGUGGGGGUCCCCCGGGGAGCACAGCGCAGUGCUAGGGCCCCUGUAGCAGAUUCCCAGGAGACACACACCCAGCUGGGCCUGCUGACACUAGCCCUGCAUUCCCACACCCCCUCCCCUGGCCCUCUCAGCUGCCUUGUCCUCUCCUGGUCAGCUGCCUGGGGACACUGUCACGAUGCCUGGCCCCUGACCUUGCCCGAAGCUCCUCGGUGUCUGGACAUUCAGCCCGACAUGCUCUGAGGUUUGGGGCAGGUCCAGCACUCUGUGGGUCCACCCCAUCAGCCCUCAGGGUGGGACUCAUGCAGCCACAGUUUGAGAGUUCCAGGAACCACAAGUCCUGAGUCAGCGGGCACCUGACCCCUUAUGUCACCUGCCCCAGGUGGAAGGAGACGCUACAGGGACCAAGCAUGGUUGGUAAACGUGUGUGUGUAUGUGCACUCACGCCUGUGUGUUAAAAUGCUUCAGAGAAAGAGCAGCCCAGGAACGUGGGGGUUGGAUGGGAUGUGGAGGUGUGGGCUGUGCCUAGGGGUCCCUCCUGGGGCUGUGUGGGUGUGAGUGGAGGACUGAGGAAAAGCCUCCUUACCCGGGAGUGUGUGGGGGUGCUGUUUCUCGUAUACUUUAUUUCCUGUUUUAACACAUGUGGGUGUCCUGAAAUAAAAGCCGUUAGCCGCCCACAAGAAUGAGCAGGUUUGCUGGAUCACAGUCCCCCACCCGGUGCCAGGCUGCCUGCCUGGGAGACUCAGGGUCCUCCCCAAUCCUGCCUCCCCACCUCCACACAAGGGUGAAUCUGAAGCCCCAGGCACCCACGCCAGGGGAACUGAGGUAGAGCAGACCUCCAGCAUCCCCCCGUGACCUGGCAGAUGGCAGUGGACAUUGCCCUCCCCAGACACCCCUCCCCACCUUCGCUUCCGGGACCACAGAGCCCCUGGAGCCUGCACGCCACGGAGUCUCCCACUGAGGAGUGAGGAGGCCUCUUGUGGGGACAGAUCUGGAAUGAGUGGCAUCCAAACCUGACUCAUAUUUCCAACUUUAUUAAUUUUUGCAAGACUUCGGAGGGUGCUCUGUGGCGAUUA
rnacentral:lncRNA from 1 species